ACUCAAAUGAAUAGACGGGGACCCGCACAAGCAGAGGAGCAUGUCGUUUAAUUCGAAGAUACACGAAAAACCUUACCAAGGCUUGACAUACCACGCAUAGCAUGGAAACAUGUGAAAUCAUAGCAAUAUGACGUGGAUACAGAUGAUGCAUGGUUGUCGUCAGCUCGUGUCGUGAGAUGUUGGGUUAAGUCCCGCAACGAGCGCAACCCCUGUGAAAAGUUGCUAACAUUCAGUUGAGAACUCUUUUCAGACUGCCGUAGAUAAUACGGAGGAAGGUGGGGAUGACGUCAAAUCAUCAUGUCUCUUACGCCUUGGGCAACAAACGUGCUACAAUGGCUGCUACAAAGUGUUGCCAACCAGCAAUGGGGAGCUAAUCACAAAAAAGCAGUCCCAGUUCGGAUUGUGGGCUGAAAUUCGCCCGCAUGAAGUCGGAUUUGCUAGUAAUCCCGAAUCAGCAUGUCGGGGUGAAUGCGUUCCCGGGUCUUGUACACACCGCCCGU
rnacentral:rRNA from 1 species